UGUCCUGUAGUGUAAUUGGCAACACGCUGCAUUUUGGCUGCAGAGACUCCUGGUUCGAGCCCAGGCGGGACAACAA
rnacentral:tRNA from 1 species